rnacentral:lncRNA from 1 species
CUUCUCUUUGUAUUUCAAUUUUGUAGUUUGAGUUUUGAAUUCAUUUUAAAUUUUGUAUUUUGAGAUUGUUGAAAAAGUGUUUUUUUUUUUUCCAUUUUAGAAAACUAUUUCUCAACACAUCAAAAUGAAAAACACGUUCACUUUAGAUAUUCGGAUUUUCUCUUCUCCAGCCACUGCCAUUUUUGCCCCCUCCAUGAGCUGCCGUCUUCUACCUCACAAUUCGACCAUCACCCACCACCUAGACCACCAGAACCCAGCAUCACUUGAACUCAUUUUCACACAAGCCACGAAUUGCACUGUAGGCCUUCGCGAUGGCCAACAUUUGGAUUCAACACUUUAGAAAUUCAGAUUGUUGAAUUGUUGUUUGUGGUAAAUUGAGGCCAUGGUUUGGGUCAAUUAGUGGUGGGCAAUCGACCGGUGGUGGUGCGUGACCUUGGGUGUCGUCGGAGGUAAAGAUUCCGGCAGAAGCAGUUUGCGUGUCUUGGUAGUUUUUGAGGAAGACUUUUGAUCGAUUUUGGAAUAUGUUUGGGUUGUUGUUUGUGUGGUAAUUGAAGAAGGGAUUGAGGGCUUCGCAAUGGUAUAUAAAUCCAGUGGUUUUGGAGGAGGUUGGCUGGAGUUUAGAGGGAUGGAAAGUGGCGGUUUUGGAGGUUUCGCCGGAGGUUAGGAGAAGAAAGUUGGGGAAAUACUUUGGCAGGGUUUGGCUUCAAAACUGCAUUUCCCGUGUUUUGGAUAGUUGACGUGUUUUCUACUGAAACCAGCUAAAAUGACAUUUUUUCGUUUUCUGUCUUCUUUACAUUUUUUUCUGUUUUCGAAAAAGGGAAAGAGAACGCUUUUUCACCGUUUUGGAAAAUCGAAAACAAAAAAUGAUCGAAAACGAGCAAAGAGAACAGCCCCUUAGAUUUUUAAAGGAUGACAAAAAGGGCUCAAUUUCAUUAAGAAUGUCAUCAUUUGACUAGUCAUAUACAAGCUUCAUAAUUGCACACUUAUAAAAAUCACCAUACAUUUGAAGCCAAAGGAUUACCUUCUAUCUUACCACCACAGAAAUCUGCAAAUAGGCAAAAAUAUGGCAAAAUUCUCUCAGAAGCCUCAUGCAAUCAUGAUUGCAAUUCCACUUCAAGGUCAUAUUACCCCGACUGUGAAUCUUGCUGUGAGCCUUGCUUCAAAGGGUUGUACCAUCACUUUUGUCCAUAUAGAAUUCACCCACCAAAUGCUGUCCAAAUCCCAGCAAUCCAGUGGUGAAGUCGAUUUUUUCGCUGAUGCACAUGAAUCGGGUCUUGACAUACGUUACACAACAAUUUUUGAUGGUUUUCCUGUGGAAUUCGAUAGAUUUCAGCAAGUGGAUGAGUACUGGGAGUGCAUGAUUAGAGAUUUUCCUGCUCGUGUCGAUGAAUUUGUUGGAAAAAUAAUCCGGUCUGAUCCAAAGUCGGCUUAUUUUCUUAUUGCUGAUACUUAUUAUACUUGGCCAGCAACAAUCGCUAGGAAGUAUAACCUGGUGAAUGUAUCAUUCUGGACAGAACCAGCAUUAGUUUUUUCUAUAGCUUAUCACUUGGACCUUCUUAGAGAAAAUGGUCAUUUUCCUUGUAAAGGUAUGUCUUCUUUCUUCCUCUCCCUCACUUUUUAUUGCUGCACUUUAUGGAGUCUAGUCAUACUUUAUACUUAUCCUCUCGACCGACCAUUUUCUGUGAGACACAGAGUGGGAGGAACAAGAUCGCCAUUGAUUCACUGCGUUGAUUUAAUUUUCUUGAUUUUCAGACAAUGUUGAGGAAAAUAUAAAUUACAUACCCGGAGUUUCUUCAUUGAAUACAAGGGACUUGAUGUCAUUCCUUAAAGAAUCUUCCAUAAAAAAAGUUAUACAAAAGAUUGUGAUCAAGUCAUUUGAUGACCAAGUGAAGAAAGCAGAUUUUAUCCUACUAAACACUGUUCAAGAACUAGAAUUUGAGGCAAUAUCAGCUCUACAUCAAAAGCAGCCAACUUAUGCAAUUGGCCCAGUAAAUUUUUCAACUGAUCCCUCCAAACCAGUCAUUUCUCAGAAUUUAUGGCCCCAAAUGGACACUAAAGCAUGGCAAGACUCAAAGCCACCCUGUUCAGUUUUUUACUUGUCAUUCGGCAGCUUUGCUCAGACGAGUAAGCAGGUAAUUCAAGAAAUAGCUCAUGGACUUCUCCUUAGCAAAGUUAAUUUUAUUUGGGCGAUUAGAAGGGAUAUUGUGAGCUAUGACGGUACUGAUGUUUUGCCCGUUGGAUUCACGGACAAAAUCAGAAAUCAAGGGUUGGUCGUUCAAUGGUGCAAUCAAAAUAUGGUGCUUUCCCAUCCGUCCAUCAGAGGGUUUUUGACGCAUUGUGGAUGGAAUUCCAUAUUGGAAAGCAUAUGGUGUGGUGUACCUAUGGUUUGCUAUCCAUUACAAACUGAUCAACCUACUAAUAGGAAAUUAGUGGUUGACAAUUGGAAGAUUGGAAUUAAUCUUUGUGACGGAGAAUCAGUUACCAGGGAAGAAGUUGCAGAGAAGAUUGACAAAUUGAUGUACGGAACAAUUUCAGAUGGAUUAAGGAUGGAGGUCAAGAAAGUAAGAACCAUACUGCAGAAUGCUUUGGCUAUAGAUGGAUCAUCAGAGAAAAAUAUUGAUCAAUUUAUUAAAGAUUUGAAGGCAAUACUUUAUGAUAAAAGGAAGGAUAUAUCAACAAGCUAGUGAUCAAACAAUUUUUUUUUUUGGUUCUUACAGAGUAUAUGCCUUAAAAUCUUACUUGGAGAGUAUGUACUAUUGUUGUGGAAUUUUUUUGCAAGCAGAUGUGGUUUUGCUCAUUUAUUGUAUUUCCAUUUAAGAGAAUUGUAAUUGUUGAACUUUUCAUUUUGAAAAUUGAUAGUCUAAUAACUAUCAAUGUAUAUCAAUUUCAAAAGAAAAGUACAAAAAAUUGUCAAUAUAAAUUACAUAAAGAGAUGUUCUCCUGUUCACACGUGGGAAGUUUUAUCUUGCCCACUUG